UGGAUGCGAGAGCGUCAGUG
rfam:Daphnia magna strain Xinb3 scaffold02491, whole genome shotgun sequence.